CUGCAGAAAAAAAGCGCGGCCUAACUACGUGCCAGCAGCGCGGUAAUACGUAGGUGCGCAAGCGUUAUCCGGGAAUUAUUAGGCGUAAAGAAGCUCGUAGGCGGUUUGUCGCGUCUGCUGUGAAAUCCGAGGCUCAACCUCGGGCCUGCAGUGGGUACGGGCAGACUAGAGUGCGGUAGGGGAGAUUGGAAUUCCUGGUGUAGCGGUGGAAUGCGCAGAUAUCAGGAGGAACACCGAUGGCGAAGGCAGAUCUCUGGGCCGUAACUGACGCUGAGGAGCGAAAGGGUGGGGAGCAAACAGGCUUAGAUACCCUGGUAGUCCACCCCGUAAACGUUGGGAACUAGUUGUGGGGACCAUUCCACGGUUUCCGUGACGCAGCUAACGCAUUAAGUUCCCCGCCUGGGGAGUACGGCCGCAAGGCUAAAACUCAAAGGAAUUGACGGGGACCCGCACAAGCGGCGGAGCAUGCGGAUUAAUUCGAUGCAACGCGAAGAACCUUACCAAGGCUUGACAUACACCAGAACACCGUAGAAAUACGGGACUCUUUGGACACUGGUGAACAGGUGGUGCAUGGUUGUCGUCAGCUCGUGUCGUGAGAUGUUGGGUUAAGUCCCGCAACGAGCGCAACCCUCGUUCUAUGUUGCCAGCACGUAAUGGUGGGAACUCAUGGGAUACUGCCGGGGUCAACUCGGAGGAAGGUGGGGAUGACGUCAAAUCAUCAUGCCCCUUAUGUCUUGGGCUUCACGCAUGCUACAAUGGCCGGUACAAAGGGCUGCAAUACCGUGAGGUGGAGCGAAUCCCAAAAAGCCGGUCCCAGUUCGGAUUGAGGUCUGCAACUCGACCUCAUGAAGUCGGAGUUGUUAGUAAUCGCAGAUCAGCAACGCUGCGGUGAAUAAUUUUUUGUUUUUUGUACUCCCCGCCUAACAAGUCCAAAAAAAAUAUUUAUUUUGUCCUGGCUCCUAAGUAGUAGAAGGAAGUAGUAUAGAGU
rnacentral:rRNA from 1 species